rnacentral:rRNA from 1 species
AGUGAACGCUGGCGGUAGGCCUAACACAUGUAAGUCGAACGGCAGCACAGUAAGAGCUUGCUCUUACGGGUGGCGAGUGGCGGACGAGUGAGGAAUACAUCGGAAUCUACUUUUUCGUGGGGGAUAACGUAGGGAAACUUACGCUAAUACCGCAUACGACCUACGGGUGAAAGCAGGGGAUCUUCGGACCUUGCGCGAUUGAAUGAGCCGAUGUCGGAUUAGCUAGUUGGCGGGGUAAAGGCCCACCAAGGCGACGAUCCGUAGCUGGUCUGAGAGGAUGAUCGGCCACACUGGAACUGAGACACGGUCCAGACUCCUACGGGAGGCAGCAGUGGGGAAUAUUGGACAAUGGGCGAAAGCCUGAUCCAGCCAUACCGCGUGGGUGAAGAAGGCCUUCGGGUUGUAAAGCCCUUUUGUUGGGAAAGAAAAGCAGCAGGUUAAUACCCCGCUGUUCUGACGGUACCCAAAGAAUAAGCACCGGCUAACUUCGUG